AUUGAACGCUGGCGGAAUGCUUUACACAUGCAAGUCGAACGGCAGCACGGGGACAGCCCUGGUGUCGAGUGGCGAACGGGCGAGUAAUACAUCCGAACGUGCCCGGUCUUGGGGGCUAACGUAGCGUAAGUUACGCUAAUAUCGCAUACGAUCAUAUGUUGAAAGCGGUGGACCUUCGGGCAUCGCGCGUUUGGCGCGCCCGUUGUCAGAUUAGCUAGUUGGUUGGGUAAAGGCUUACCAAGCCGACGAUCCAUAGCUGGUCUGAGAGGACGACCUGCCACACUGGAACUGAGACACGGCCCAGACUCCUACGGGAGGCAGCAGUGGGGAAUCUUGGGCAAUGGGCGAAAGCCUGACGCAGCCACGCCGCGUGCGGGACGAAGGCCUUCGGGUUGUAAAAUGCUUUUGUUCGGGACGAAAAGGUGCGGGAGAAUCCCUGGAGAUCAUGACGGUACCGAAAGAAUAAGCACCGGCUAACUACGUG
rnacentral:rRNA from 1 species